AUCUCUGCAUCAAUUUCUGUGAGGGAGCCACAGACGGGGGGGGAUAGAAAACAGCGGACAACUCAUUUCUCUGUAACACCCCUGGAAGCCGGCGUAAAGUCAGCAGUGGGACUCAGUGGGAUUUUUCAAUAUCUGCUCAAGCCGGUGUGUGUGUGUGUGUGUGUGUGAGCGAGUGUGUGUGUGUGUGUGAGCUGAUAAUAGCAGCUCCAUUGGUAUUCAGCGGAGGGAGCUCCAGGAUCUCGCUGCGCCUUUCCCCAGGAUGGGAUCACAGAGCGGGGAUUGUGCUUGCCUGUGGAGAGCUCGCUGAAAUGGAUGUGAGGCUUUGCAGAGAUGGACACCAAAUGGCAGGCAUGGAAGCCAACAUCAACCCUCCAGCGACUAGCUUUCCACACCUAACUGCUCUCACCAUCUCCAGCCAUCAGCCCGAGCCGUCCCAGCCGGGACUCAGCCUGCAGAGUUGAGGCUGCCGGACGAGGCGGACUGCCACACCAGGAGCCGUCUCCUGGUCGCGGAGAUAAGCGGAGGGCGACGGGCCUCGGAGGAGUCGGCGCGCAACAGACCGGUCCGGCGCACAGCUGAGCGUAUACAGUCGAGCUUCUUGGACUUCAUCUCAAAUGAAAUAAGCCGCAGUGAUGCUUGAGCGAUGGUACGGAGCUUUUGGACACGUCCGGAUUUAUCGACCGGAUAUCCUACCGAGAUUACGACGCUUUGGUGUACACCUGAGAGCCGGGCCACUUUUUCCAGAUUGGCUUGUGGGCAAAAGCGAGUAAUUGAAAAUCCCCCCUUGAGAGGCUCUCUGUUGUGAUUUGUUGUCGAGGAGGAGGAGGCCCCCUUUUUUUUUUUUUGUUUUUUUUUUUGUAAAGACCAAUUUCAUAAGCC